ensembl:lncRNA
CAUCAAAGCCUACCUAUAAAUUAUCACACUGAAUUCCCUGCUUGUCUGGGGGGGGGCUGUUUUCUCUAAUAGUGGAAUAAUCAGCCUAUCCUGUACUUCCUGCCUCCUUAUUUUUCCAAGGUCGAAGAACUUGCUAGCUAGUCAAAAUCCUUUCACCUCUCAAUUGUGUGCUUCCAUCAUCAUCCACCUUCUCUCUUUGUGCUUUCUAUGAAUUCGGUACCACUUAAGCAGGGACUUGUCUCCCAAGCCUUAUAGGGUUGAUGUAAUUGCUGUUGUCUAGGGAGCACACAGCUCAGAAGAGUUGCGUGUAAAGACUUCAAGAGGAUGCCAAAGAAGCCUUUAAAGACCUAAAUCCCCUGGGUUAGUUCUGGACAUGUGUUACUAGGUCCUGCCAUUACUAUUUAGGUUUCAUUAGGUGCUGUUUUUUUUGUUUGAACUUUUAAUGGUUUUGGUAAUGGAUGCUGGGUAUCAUGGGUUAAUUCUUUAAUUUAUUGCCCAGAGUAGUACUUGUCACUAAGUUGGGUGGUACAUAAAUAUUUGAAAUAAGUAAAUGAUCCAUUAGUGGUUGGAGAUGCUAGGGGUUGCAGACCCCCCCCCCAAAAAAACCAUAAGGAUUUCAAGCUCUGGUCUGGAGUGGGAAGCAGGGAGUCCUGGCAUGAUGGCCCAACCAUGAACCAGCUGGGGGCUGUUCAAGCAGCAGGCAAGGAGAAAGAAAUAGACUCGUCGUGUCUUAUUCGCCUUUCAGUCAUCAAAAAGGCCAUUCUGCGUGAUGAGCUUCUCCUGAAUCAGUUGAAAGGGAUACCGUUUUCUGACAUCAGCAUUGGAGGACUCCUCGGUCUGGUCAAUAGCAUCGCUGGGUAAGUAGAAAACUAGAGGCAUUUGGGAAAUGGAGAGGUUUUGCUCUUGCUGUCUUGGAGAACCCCUCCAGUCUUCUCACAAUGGGACCAUGCAGGUUGCAGGGAGCAAUGGGACAUUAGAGGUAUGUGCAGGGUAGGACCCUCGGGACCCCUUCAAGCCAGAAGUCUGGCAGAGACCAUAGAAAGCAUCUUCGGUCAUGCCUCUUGACUGAAUGCAAGAGAUGGGGCCAUCUACGGCUCUGCUACUGUUCUUUUUCUGAUUUGCCUCCUCUUUCUCACUGUGUGCUAAUCUCUCUUCUCAGGCUUAGAAUUGUGAACCUCGAAAUUACCGGUGUUCAACAAGUAUUUUCACCAGACGUAUCAGGCUGUCUUCUCUCUGUCUCCAUCCGUUUGGAAAUCUCUGGCCACACCCUGCUUGAUCUCUCGAACCUGGUCAGCAUCUCACUGGAACUGACGAUCCGAGUCAAAUAUUCAUUUAUAAACUUCCAGAGUGGGUCCUUUGAUUUCUUCUUUCACGAAUGUGGCGCUGAUUUUGGAGCUAUUAAAAUCAACAUCUUGGGCACUUAUGUGGCGUGGUGCAGACGGUCUUCAACUUGGUCAAAUCCCUCUUCUUGGACACGGUGAAUGGUAAGGCUUGAUGCUGUCUUACACCUCUUACUCUGGAUGAUAAAAACGAAAUACUUUAACACCCUGUUGACUGACCUUUCCUGUGUGUUCUAGAAUACUGCUUCUGGAUAGCCAUAAUACCUGGCACAGAUAAGUGGAUUAUACAGUUGGUCUUCGUUUGUGUAGCGGAGUAAAAGCACAUCAAACCUCUUCCCUUUUACCUUCUUGUGAUCAGUCAUCUAAACAGCU